UACGAGGGGGGCGAGCGUUGUUCGGAAUUAUUGGGCGUAAAGGGUGCGUAGGCGGCCUGACAAGUCUGAUGUGAAAUCCCUGGGCUCAACCCAGGGCCUGCAUCGGAAACUGUCGGGCUUGAGUAUGGGAGAGGUGAGUGGAAUUUCCGGUGUAGCGGUGAAAUGCGUAGAUAUCGGAAGGAACACCUGUGGCGAAAGCGGCUCACUGGACCAUUACUGACGCUGAGGCACGAAAGCUAGGGGAGCAAA
rnacentral:rRNA from 1 species